GGUCUGUUUUUGAUGAGGGACACUGAUUUUCCACUAACAGAAGUAUUUUACAGGUUUUCUUUUAAAAUAGAGUUAAGUACAAAAAUAAUAAUAUAAAAACCUGGGAAAUUUGAAGAGGAAGAUCACGUGGGAAAGAAUACCGCGGUCACGUACAUAGAGGAAAAUGUCAUGGGGGAAGUUCAGGGAUGACUGAGUUUGGAGAAAUAGGAGAAUGUGUGUAAAGCACCCAACACCCCCCCUUGCACCUAAUUUGCAUUCAGGGAAUGGAAGGUUCUAGUCUGUGUUUAUUCACCCCACACCAUUACCCACCCCACAAGCCCCACCAACUCCAGCUGCUACUGCAGCCCAGCCCCACCCCUCCAGUAGCCGCCCUCCCGGACGACAUACCAGUGCAGAGCAGAGCCAGCAGCUGGGGCGUCAUGGCAGCACCCACAAGCCUCUUCCAAGGAUCUUCCGUCAGUCUUUUUGUCGGCUCUAUCCGGAAAUGACUGUUGCAACACGCUCUCAAGCCACUUCCCACGGGUUUGACACACUGAGUCCUCCCAACAGCACAGAAGUCAGUCACCCACUUCUAGGGCAUAGCCAUGAAUAUGCAAAACAUGGGAGAUGGGGCCGGUGGGACCCCAAUCACCAUCAUCCCCUUCUGCACGGUGACAGCAAAUACCUGGGCUCCCAGGGAUCCAGAAUCUCGGGUGGAAGGAGGCUCUUCAGGAGAACUCGAGGAGCUGUGUUCUGCAUCUGGUGGAGGUGUAGACAGUGAGAGACAACCCAGACAGUGGACCCAGGCGACGGGCAGGGGCUGAUGUGCACGUGGAAAAAUCUAGAAGAAUACAAGAGGCCACCUGCCAGCCAGGGAGAGGGCUUUCACAAGAACCAUGCUGGCCCUCUGGUCUCGGACAUCCCAGCCUCCAGAACAGUAAGAAAUUUGGAGGAGCCCGCGUUCCUUGGCUCGUGACCCUGCGUCAUGCUGACCUCUGCUUCCGGGUCUACGUUCGCCUCCCUGACUCGGAUCCCUUCCCUCUUACAAAUAAGGACCCUUGUGGCUGCACAGGACCUAAAUAAUCUGGGAUAACCCCACUCCCACUGCCACCUCAUGAUGCUGUAUUUCAUCACAACUGUGAGGGCCUUUUGGCCACUACAACAUUUUCCCAGAUUCCAGGAAUUGGGACAUCACGUGUGGGGGUGGCGGGGGACCUCAUUCUGCCCAAGGCACAAGGCCAGAGGAGCUCACUCGGGUCACUUGCAGCGUGCUGAGCUCCGCGGGCCACACUGCGAGGCCCGGAACACACCUGGUCCCUCUUGGGCGGAGCCUGUGGUCUCGUCUGGGAGAGAGAGGAUCCGAAUACAGUUCGGGUCCGAUAGGGCUCUGUGGGAACACACUUGGGCCGGGCAGCAGUCUGCAGUGGAGACAGCAUCCAGUCUGAGACCAGAAGGAGGGGCGUGCUGGCGCGGGCGUGAGCGCGUAGAAAGGAGAGCUGGUAGCAGGUCUGUCACAAGGGCCUUAUGAGCACCCUGGGAGUGAUGAGCAUUUGUGGGUGACAAAAGGAAUCACGGCCUGGGGGCACCUGGUGGUGCGGUCAGGAAGGCAUCCGACUCUCCGUUCCAGCUCAGGUUGGGAUCUCAGGGUUGUCGUGGGAUCAAGCCCCACAUGGGGUUCUCCACGCUCAGUGGGAGUUGGCUUGAUAUUCUCUCCCUCUCUCCCUGCCCCUCCCCCUCUCUAAAAUAAAUAAAUCUUUAAAAAAAAGAGAGAGAGAGAAAAAGAGGAACCACUGCCUCAAGAACAGUAAAUUGCUUUGCAAUAGUUAAAUGUGAUAAUAUUCCCCUUUCUCUUCCUCACUCAAAAGUGGAAGUGACGGGGGCACCUGGGUAGCUCAGCAGGCGGGGCAGCCGACUCUUGGUUUCUGCUCAGGUUGUGAUAUCAGGGUCCUGGGAUGAAGCCCCACGUCAGUCUCCAGG